rnacentral:rRNA from 1 species
UACGUAGGGCGCAAGCGUUGUCCGGAAUUAUUGGGCGUAAAGAGCUCGUAGGCGGUUUGUCGCGUCUGCUGUGAAAACCUAAGGCUCAACCUUGGGCUUGCAGUGGGUACGGGCAGACUAGAGUGCGGUAGGGGUGACUGGAAUUCCUGGUGUAGCGGUGAAAUGCGCAGAUAUCAGGAGGAACACCGGUGGCGAAGGCGGCUUACUGGUCCAUAACUGACGCUGGAGGGUGCGAAAAGCCGUGGGGAGCAAACAGG